rnacentral:rRNA from 1 species
GAUGAACGCUGGCGGCGUGCCUAAUACAUGCAAGUCGAGCGAACAGACGAGGAGCUUGCUCCUCUGACGUUAGCGGCGGACGGGUGAGUAACACGUGGAUAACCUACCUAUAAGACUGGGAUAACUUCGGGAAACCGGAGCUAAUACCGGAUAAUAUAUUGAACCGCAUGGUUCAAUAGUGAAAGACGGUUUUGCUGUCACUUAUAGAUGGAUCCGCGCCGCAUUAGCUAGUUGGUAAGGUAACGGCUUACCAAGGCAACGAUGCGUAGCCGACCUGAGAGGGUGAUCGGCCACACUGGAACUGAGACACGGCCCAGACUCCUACGGGAGGCAGCAGUAGGGAAUCUUACGCAAUGGGCGAAAGCCUGACGGAGCAACGCCGCGUGAAGGAUGAAGGUCUUCGGAUCGUAAAACUCUGUUAUUAGGGAAGAACAAAUGUUUAAGUAACUAUGCACGUCUUGACGGUACCGAAUCAAUAAGCCCCGGCUAACUACGUG